rnacentral:rRNA from 1 species
UACGGGGGGAGCAAGCGUUGUUCGGAUUUACUGGGCGUAAAGGGCGCGUAGGCGGCCACUGAAAGUCAGAUGUGAAAUUCCAAGGCUCAACCUUGGAGCAGCAUUUGAAACUGUCUAGCUAGAGUGCAGUUAGGGAAAACGGAAUUCCACAUGUAGCGGUGAAAUGCGUAGAUAUGUGGAGGAACACCGGUGGUGAAGACGGUUUUCUGGGCUGUAACAGACGCUGAGGCGCGAAAGCAUGGGGAGCAAACAGG